AUUUAUAUAGCAAACAAUUGCAUAAAAUUUAGAAUUUUAUUAUACUUAGCAUAACAGAAAUAGUU
rnacentral:tRNA from 1 species